rfam:Gossypium raimondii Chr04_contig_1401, whole genome shotgun sequence.
UAUUAAAAUUUCAUCUAUUUUUAUUGUUAAAAACUGACGUGAUUAACAAAAUAGUCAUACAGUUACAUGUGUGUACCUCAUUUUGACAUACAAUGACCAAUUUUUAAUUGUAAAAAUGAAUAGAAAUUUUAACA